rnacentral:rRNA from 1 species
UAGGGAAUUUUCGGCAAUGGGGGGAACCCUGACCGAGCAAUGCCGCGUGAUUGAAGAAGAUCUUCGGAUCGUAAAGAUCUGUUAUUAGGGAAGAAUGGAAUUGAUAGGAAAUGAUCAAUUUAUGACGGUGCCUAAUGAGGAAGCCCCGGCUAACUAUGUGCCAGCAGCCGCGGUAAUACAUAGGGGGCGAGCGUUAUCCGGAAUUAUUGGGCGUAAAGGGUACGUAGGCGGGCCUGCAAGUCUGAUUUGAAAGCACACGGCUUAACCGUGUGAGGUAAUUAGAAACUACAGGUCUAGAGAGUGGUAGAGGUAAAUGGAAUUCCAAGUGGAGCGGUGAAAUGCGUAGAGAUUUGGAGGAACACCAGUGGCGAAGGCGGUUUACUGGGCCACAUCUGACGCUGAUGUACGAAAGCGUGGGGAGCAAACAGG